ACUCCUACGGGAGGCAGCAGUGGGGAAUCUUGGACAAUGGGCGCAAGCCUGAUCCAGCCAUGCCGCGUGAGCGAUGAAGGCCUUAGGGUUGUAAAGCUCUUUCGCUGGGGAAGAUAAUGACUGUACCCAGUAAAGAAGUCCCGGCUAACUCCGUGCCAGCAGCCGCGGUAAUACGGAGGGACUAGCGUUGUUCGGAAUUACUGGGCGUAAAGCGCGCGUAGCGGAUCAGCAAGUUAGGGUGAAUCCGGGCUCACCCGCACAGCCUCAAUACUGUUGGUCUAGAGUUCGAGAGAGGUGAGUGGAAUUCCGAGUGUAGAGGUGAAAUUCGUAGAUAUUCGGAGGAACACCAGUGGCGAAGGCGGCUCACUGGCUCGAUACUGACGCUGAGGUGCGAAAGUGUGGGGAGCAAACAGGAUUAGAUACCCUGGUAGGCUCUGC
rnacentral:rRNA from 1 species